GUGCUCUCUUUGGCAGCACAUAUACUAAAAAUGUAUGGAUGCUACUGAGAUUUGCAUGGACCCUGUGCAAGGAUGACAAGUAACUCUAUAAAGUACUCCACAGAUUU